GACGAACGCUGGCGGCGUGCCUAAUACAUGCAAGUAGAACGCUGAAGGAGGAGCUUGCUCUUCUGGAUGAGUUGCGAACGGGUGAGUAACGCGUAGGUAACCUGCCUGGUAGCGGGGGAUAACUAUUGGAAACGAUAGCUAAUACCGCAUAACAGUAGAUGUUGCAUGACAUUUGCUUAAAAGGUGCAAUUGCACCACUACCAGAUGGACCUGCGUUGUAUUAGCUAGUUGGUGGGGUAACGGCUCACCAAGGCGACGAUACAUAGCCGACCUGAGAGGGUGAUCGGCCACACUGGGACUGAGACACGGCCCAGACUCCUACGGGAGGCAGCAGUAGGGAAUCUUCGGCAAGGGACGGAAGACUGACCGAGCAACGCCGCGUGAGUGAAGAAGGUUUUCGGAUCGUAAAGCUCUGUUGUAAGAGAAGAACGAGUGUGAGAGUGGAAAGUUCACACUGUGACGGUAUCUUACCAGAAAGGGACGGCUAACUACGUG
rnacentral:rRNA from 1 species